UAGAUGUUGAGGAGGUCAUCCUUCCAAGUGUGAUUCAGGAUCAACCAGUUGUUGCUUCCAAAUUGCAAGAUGUUGAAGCAAGAUCUUUGGAAGGUCUUCAUGUGGCUAUGAAGCAAGCCUCAGAAGGGAACAUUGAAGAGAUGUCGAAACUGUCUGAUUCAAUGGGAGGGCCAGCAGGACUAAACGAAGUGGGUUCUAGCAGUUCUACAAAGGAGCUCCCAAUUCUUGAAGUUAGAACGAUCAAUGAUAUUGACCUGGCCUUCAAGCAACUUAACGAAGGUGCAGAUGUUGAGGAGGUAAUCCUUCCCAGCA
rnacentral:misc_RNA from 1 species